GCCUCUUGGGGUUGUAGGACAUUCUAUACGGAGUUACAAAGGAACGAGGUAGACGAAGCGACCUGGAAAGGUCCGUCGUAGAGGGUAACAACCCCGUAGUCGAAACUUCGUUCUCUCUUGAAUGUAUCCUGAGUACGGCGGAACACGUGAAAUUCCGUCGGAAUCUGGGAGGACCAUCUCCCAAGGCUAAAUACUCCCUAGUGAUCGAUAGUGAACCAGUACCGUGAGGGAAAGGUGAAAAGCACCCCGGAAGGGGAGUGAAAGAGAUCCUGAAACCGUGUGCCUACAAAUAGUCAGAGCCCGUUAAUGGGUGAUGGCGUGCCUUUUGUAGAAUGAACCGGCGAGUUACGAUCCCGUGCGAGGUUAAGUUGAAGAGACGGAGCCGCAGCGAAAGCGAGUCUGAAUAGGGCGUUUAGUACGUGGUCGUAGACCCGAAACCAGGUGAUCUACCCAUGUCCAGGGUGAAGUUCAGGUAACACUGAAUGGAGGCCCGAACCCACGCACGUUGAAAAGUGCGGGGAUGAGGUGUGGGUAGCGGAGAAAUUCCAAUCGAACCUGGAGAUAGCUGGUUCUCCCCGAAAUAGCUUUAGGGCUAGCCUUAAGUGUAAGAGUCUUGGAGGUAGAGCACUGAUUGAACUAGGGGUCCUCAUCGGAUUACCGAAUUCAGUCAAACUCCGAAUGCCAAUGACUUAUCCUUAGGAGUCAGACUGCGAGUGAUAAGAUCCGUAGUCAAGAGGGAAACAGCCCAGAUCGCCAGCUAAGGUCCCAAAGUGUGUAUUAAGUGGAAAAGGAUGUGGAGUUGCUUAGACAACUAGGAUGUUGGCUUAGAAGCAGCCACCAUUUAAAGAGUGCGUAAUAGCUCACUAGUCGAGUGACUCUGCGCCGAAAAUGUACCGGGGCUAAAUACACCACCGAAGCUGCGAAUUGAUACCAAUGGUAUCAGUGGUAGGGGAGCGUUCUAAGUGCAGUGAAGUCAGACCGGAAGGACUGGUGGAGCGCUUAGAAGUGAGAAUGCCGGUAUGAGUAGCGAAAGACGGGUGAGAAUCCCGUCCACCGAAUGCCUAAGGUUUCCUGAGGAAGGCUCGUCCGCUCAGGGUUAGUCAGGACCUAAGCCGAGGCCGACAGGCGUAGGCGAUGGACAACAGGUUGAUAUUCCUGUACCACCUCUUUAUCGUUUGAGCAAUGGAGGGACGCAGAAGGAUAGAAGAAGCGUGCGAUUGGUUGUGCACGUCCAAGCAGUUAGGCUGAUAAGUAGGCAAAUCCGCUUAUCGUGAAGGCUGAGCUGUGAUGGGGAAGCUCCUUAUGGAGCGAAGUCUUUGAUUCCCCGCUGCCAAGAAAAGCUUCUAGCGAGAUAAAAGGUGCCUGUACCGCAAACCGACACAGGUAGGCGAGGAGAGAAUCCUAAGGUGUGCGAGAGAACUCUGGUUAAGGAACUCGGCAAAAUGACCCCGUAACUUCGGGAGAAGGGGUGCUUUCUUAACGGAAAGCCGCAGUGAAUAGGCCCAAGCGACUGUUUAGCAAAAACACAGG
rnacentral:rRNA from 1 species